rnacentral:rRNA from 1 species
AUUGAACGCUGGCGGCAUGCCUUACACAUGCAAGUCGAACGGUAACAGGUAAGCUGACGAGUGGCGAACGGGUGAGUAAUAUAUCGGAGCGUGCCCAGUCGUGGGGGAUAACGCAGCGAAAGCUGUGCUAAUACCGCAUACGCCCUGAGGGGGAAAGCGGGGGAUCGAAAGACCUCGCGCGAUUAGAGCGGCCGAUGCCUGAUUAGCUUGUUGGUGGGGUAAAAGCCCACCAAGGCGACGAUCAGUAGCUGGUCUGAGAGGACGAUCAGCCACACUGGGACUGAGACACGGCCCAGACUCCUACGGGAGGCAGCAGUGGGGAAUUUUGGACAAUGGGGGCAACCCUGAUCCAGCAAUGCCGCGUGAGUGAAGAAGGCCUUCGGGUUGUAAAGCUCUUUUGUCAGGGAAGAAACACCGGCUCUAACACAGUCCGGGAAUGACGGUACCUGAAGAAUAAGCACCGGCUAACUCUGUGUCUGUG